UGAGCCAUCUGAAAACUGCUUUCUACAAUCAAUUGUAAGGGCUUUCUAUUCCCUUUUUUAAAAUUAUUUCUGUUUUCAAAUUUACCUUCCCCUCCUGUUCUCUGGCAUACUUUUUCAUUCUUUGUUUGCCUAACUCCUUUGUUACAGAAGAUGCAACAAGUUAAGGGUUGGCUUCAUUUAUAAUGUUCAAAUGCAACAAAGUAUCAUAUAUAAAAGUAAAUUGGCUAAUGUAGGGUUUGUGUUUGGGGCGAUGCCAACUAGUUGUAUAUCAAGUUAUUGGGGGAAAAAAAGAAUGAUGAAAUUUGGAGAGGUUAAAUUUCUCGCAUUCUUAGUAUAGCAGUUAAAUGAAAGUCCCCAACUCAAUUGAGUUCUCAUACCAGUUCUCAUUUUAGCUCUCUAUUCAUUUCCCUUAAGCAUUUUAAGAUAUGCCAAAUCAUUCCGCAGGCCAAGAGAGGAGGGUAUGAGUUGAGUGCCAAAGCAUGUUAGCAUGUAGUAAAAAUGCCCAAAAAAAAUCACUGUUAUUGAGGGCUUUGAUCAUAUAAAUUAGGGGAAAUAUUCCAUAGUAAUAAGAUUUGCAAAUUUUUUCCAUUAUGAAUAGUAAAUUGAAUAAUUUUUACAUCUCCAAUUGCUGCAUGAAAUAAGCUUCAUUUGACUAAACAUCCAUAAACCCUCAAUGCUUAAAAAAUAAGACACAAAAAGGUCAAAAACAUAUUGUAUCCGUAAGGUAGCUUAGUCUUUUUCAUGUUAUUUACAUAUUUGGCAUAAUCUCUAGUAAAUGCCUCCUUAACAAUUAGCCCAAUUCAUAUCAAUGAUCUUUUUAUUUAUGUUUUUGAAUUUCUCAGUUUACAUUUUUGAAUGUUCUCAAUUACAUCCAAGGGGGAGUUUUAAAUGAAGCCAUCAAUGCUUGCAAAUGACUUUUCUUUUAAUAAUGUUUGCAGCAGUAUGACAGAGUCACUGGACAGAAUUUGGAAAAAAAUAACAAAGAGCUUCAGUAGUAUUUGGGGAAGUAUAGAAGAGAAAAACUUGUGUGGAUGAAAAUGCAAACCCAAGUUAAGGGUGUCUUGGUAAUAGGACAGAAACGUGAUGGCAUAAUGUACAUGACAUAUCUUUUCUAAUCACUUGAAAAUAAACCCCUUGGAGUCCACAGAGAAACACUGUGCCAUUAAUUCUGCUCUGCUCUCUUGCACACUAACAGUUCCUGUCAGCUAUUAUUGCCUUCUGCCACUUAAGCAUAUAUACAAUUUUUAUUUUUAUUUUUAUUAUUUAUUUAUUUAUUUAUUUAUUUAUUUAUUUAUUUUUGA
rnacentral:lncRNA from 1 species